rnacentral:rRNA from 1 species
AUUGAACGCUGGCGGCAUGCCUUACACAUGCAAGUCGAACGGCAGCACGGGGGCAACCCUGGUGGCGAGUGGCGAACGGGUGAGUAAUGCAUCGGAACGUGCCCAGUAGUGGGGGAUAACCAGUCGAAAGACUGGCUAAUACCGCAUACGACCUACGGGUGAAAGCGGGGGACCGUAAGGCCUCGCGCUAUUGGAGCGGCCGAUGUCUGAUUAGCUAGUUGGCGGGGUAAGAGCCCACCAAGGCGACGAUCAGUAGCUGGUCUGAGAGGACGACCAGCCACACUGGGACUGAGACACGGCCCAGACUCCUACGGGAGGCAGCAGUGGGGAAUUUUGGACAAUGGGCGCAAGCCUGAUCCAGCCAUGCCGCGUGCGGGAAGAAGGCCUUCGGGUUGUAAACCGCUUUUGGCAGGAACGAAACGGCGACCCCUAAUACGGGUCGUUAAUGACGGUACCUGCAGAAUAAGCACCGGCUAACUACGUGCCAGCCGCCGCGGUAACAC